GUUGCUGGGGGCGCAUCAGGCUGAGAGUGCAUCUGCACGACCCCUAUUACUUGAUCCGGAUAAUACCGGCGUAAGGAGGCAUCUAUA
rnacentral:ncRNA from 1 species